rnacentral:snoRNA from 1 species
CGCUUGAUGUGAUGAUUUAGCAUUUUUUUUCAUACAGUUAUCCCUGUCUGAAUCAUUGUGUUGAUAUAGUCUUACUUUCUGAUCUUGCC